AAAUGAAAACUAGUGAGGUAGCUAGCGUGAUUUAAAUGAGACCGUUCAAAUAGACAGCUUUACUUGUUUAACAUAUUUUUAAAUUCCAAUUGCAAAAGGAAUGUUUCUUAAAUUAAUAGAUGCAUUAAAAAUUCCUUUUAUACUUUGAAUAAUAAAACACUUAGAUUUUUAAAAAACUAUUUUCACAAGAUAAUGAACACCAAUUGAAAGAAAAUUUGUAUAAGCUCAAGGCUAAUAAACUGCAAACCAGUUGCUUUAGAAACAGGGCUGCUAUUAGCUCUACAUGGAAAUUAAUGCACUGCAGGGAAUUUCUGCAGCAGGAAAAAGUUUUCUGAAGAAUUUAGAGUCAUCUGAACCACCCAGAGUGAGCGUUUUCUGGCACCUGAGCUACCACAUGUGAUGGAAGAAAUCCAAGUUAAACACUCUCACCAGAGCAUGCUUCGAGGCAGAUGACAGAGCCUCAUGCUUGGCCAAUACAAUGUACUUCUAUUCUCUAUUUAUUUUUGUAGUUCAAAGACCUGGCAGUAACCUGCUUGGUGCCUGCCAUAGGAACCAGUGUGCUCCUGAUUACUGCCCAGCGAUUUCAUAGCUGUGUGCCAGCUACUCAGACCACGUAUAAAGAGAAAGGG
rnacentral:lncRNA from 1 species